rnacentral:rRNA from 1 species
UACGUAGGACCCGAGCGUUGUCCGGAUUUACUGGGUGUAAAGGGCGUGUAGGUGGGCGCUUAAGUCGAUGGUGAAAUCCUGCGGCUCAACCGUAGAAUUGCCGUCGAUACUGGGCGUCUUGAGUGCGGCAGAGGGAGAUGGAAUUCAUGGUGUAGCGGUGAAAUGUGUAGAUAUCAUGAAGAACACCGGUAGCGAAGGCGGUCUCCUGGUCCGUGACUGACACUGAGGCGCGAAAGCGGGGGGAGCAAACAG